rnacentral:rRNA from 1 species
UACGUAGGGACCAAGCGUUGUUCGGAUUUACUGGGCGUAAAGGGCGCGUAGGCGGCUUGUCAAGUCACUUGUGAAAUCUCUGGGCUUAACCCAGAACGGCCAAGUGAAACUGACAUGCUAGAGUGCAGAAGGGGCAAUCGGAAUUCUUGGUGUAGCGGUGAAAUGCGUAGAUAUCAAGAGGAACACCAGAGGUGAAGACGGGUUGCUGGGCUGACACUGACGCUGAGGCGCGAAAGCCAGGGGAGCAAACGGG